UACGGAGGAUGCAAGCGUUAUCCGGAAUGAUUGGGCGUAAAGCGUCCGCAGGUGGCUAUGUAAGUCCGCUGUUAAAGAGUCUAGCUUAACUAGAUAAAGGCAGUGGAAACUACAUUGGCUAGAGUGCGUUCGGGGCAGAGGGAAUUCCUGGUGUAGCGGUGAAAUGCGUAGAGAUCAGGAAGAACACCGGUGGCGAAAGCGCUCUGCUAGGCCGCAACUGACACUGAGGGACGAAAGCUAGGGGAGCAAACAGG
rnacentral:rRNA from 1 species